rnacentral:rRNA from 1 species
GACGAACGCUGGCGGCGUGCUUAACACAUGCAAGUCGAACGGAAAGGCCCUGCUUUUGUGGGGUUCUCGAGUGGCGAACGGGUGAGUAACACGUGAGUAACCUGCCCUUGACUUUGGGAUAACUUCAGGAAACUGGGGCUAAUACCGGAUAGGAGCUCCUGCUGCAUGGUGGGGGUUGGAAAGUUUCGGCGGUUGGGGAUGGACUCGCGGCUUAUCAGCUUGUUGGUGGGGUAGUGGCUUACCAAGGCUUUGACGGGUAGCCGGCCUGAGAGGGUGACCGGCCACAUUGGGACUGAGAUACGGGCCAGAAGCCUACGGGAGGGAGCAGUGGGGGAUAUUGUACAACGGGCGGAAGGCUGAAGGAGCAACGCCGCGUGCGGGAUGACGGCCUUCGGGUUGUAAACCGCUUUCGCCUGUGACGAAGCGUGAGUGACGGUAAUGGGUAAAGAAGCACCGGCUAACUACGUG